GAUGAACGCUCGCUCCAGGCUUAACACAUGCAAGUCGAGGGGAAACGAUGAGAGAGCUUGCUCUCUUAGGCGUCGACCGGCGCACGGGUGAGUAACGCGUAUCCAACCUACCCAUUACAGGGGGAUAACCUUCGAAAGUAAGACUAAUACCCCAUGGCAUUUUAUGGUGGCAUCAUUAUAGGAUUAAAGAUUUAUUGGUAAUGGAUGGGGAUGCGUCUGAUUAGCUUGUUGGCAGGGUAACGGCCCACCAAGGCAACGAUCAGUAGGGGUUCUGAGAGGAAGGUCCCCCACAUUGGAACUGAGACACGGUCCAAACUCCUACGGGAGGCAGCAGUGAGGAAUAUUGGUCAAUGGGCGAGAGCUUGAACCAGCCAAGUAGCGUGCAGGAUGACGGCCCUAUGGGUUGUAAACUGCUUUUAUAGGGGAAUAAAGUGAGCUACGUGUAGUUUAUUGCAUGUACCCUAUGAAUAAGGACCGGCUAAUUCCGUG
rnacentral:rRNA from 1 species